CCUUAGUUACCAGCACGUUAUGUGGGCACUCUAAGGAGACUGCCGGUGGACAAACCGGAGGAAGGUGGGGAUGACGUCAAGUCAUCAUGGCCCUUACGGCCUGGGCUACACACGUGCUACAAUGGUCGGUACAAAGGGUUGCCAAGCCGCGAGGUGGAGCUAAUCCCAUAAACCGAUCGUAGUCCGGAUCGCAGUCUGCAACUCGACUGCGUGAAGUCGGAAUCGCUAGUAAUCGUGAAUCAGAAUGUCACGGUGAAUACGUUCCCGGGCCUU
rnacentral:rRNA from 1 species